GUGCCAGCAGCCGCGGUAAUACGAACUGUGCAAACGUUAUUCGGAAUCACUGGGCUUAAAGGGUGCGUAGGCGGCUCGUUAGGUAGGGUGUGAAAGCCCCCGGCUCAACCGGGGAAUUGCGCCCUAAACCGGCGGGCUGGAGUGAGAUAGGGGUGUGUGGAACUUCCAGUGGAGCGGUGAAAUGUGUUGAUAUUGGAAGGAACGCCGGUGGCGAAAGCGACACACUGGGUCUCAACUGACGCUGAGGCACGAAAGCCAGGGGAGCAAACGGGAUUAGAUACCCCAGUAGUCC
rnacentral:rRNA from 1 species